rnacentral:misc_RNA from 1 species
UCCCAAUAAACCCAUCAUGAACCGACCUCUAAUUUUUUUCUAGAGCGCUUUCUUCGUCAUUAAAACCCCGCUUGCUCUAUCCCGCUGCUUUAUUUCUUCUUCAGCCUUCGAUAUUCCGCUGGAAUUUACACGAUUUGCUAUUGAAAUAAAUCAAAUUUAGGCUAAGCCCUCGGUUUGCCAAGUAGUCGAUAGAAUUAUACCAAGUUAAUCUCAUUAGCGGAAACCUUUCCAGUCUGGCUCGGGGCUGUUAAUCGGGCUUCGUUUGAGGCAAUCUACUAGGUCAGUCUGCUAGUUUACUAAUUAGGUACGAUGGUGACAGAAGUAUAGUGGAAAAAUAUAUGAAUAGUGUACUUCGGGAUAAGGAAGGUUUAUGUGUGGAUCAGGACUGGAAGUGUUUCGUGUUGAUCGAGUGAAUCAUGGAACUUUAUAGAGCGAUGUAUUUCGGCUAUGUCCUGGUCCUGGCAGUAUUCUUCCUCAUGAUUUGGGUGUCUUAUGUCGAAUCCAAAGAACAAGAGUCCGUAAAGUACCCUCCUUGUUUCUUCAACCCGCUGUGUAGUUGUUCGAAGGCAGUACCAGACUUGGGAAUAGUCCAGUGCAAAGACGUACACUUGUCUAGGAUUCCUGAAACAGUAAAUGUUUCCAAGGCGUUCAUGUUACACCUGGAAAAUAAUGGAUUGAGAACAUUGGAACCGUUUUUUCUACAAAGCACAGGAUUGUACAAGAUAGUUAUUUCAAACAAUCCAUUGGUGAUGGUGCCGGAUGAGUCGUUUUUAGGCCUGGAAAGAUCCUUGUGGGAAUUGAAAUUGAGCCACUGUCAUUUAACUAGAGUUCCUAAUAGAGCUUUAAGGUACUUGCAGAAGUUAAGACUACUUGAUCUUACAGGAAACGAUAUAAUCAAAAUAUCUCCAGAAAACUGGAGAGGUCUGGAAAGUUCCCUGGAAGUACUUAUUUUAUCCGAAAAUGCCAUUAACCACAUUCCCAUAGAUGCUUUCUCUGGCCUGCCCAUGCUGGAUACUAUCGAUUUAAGAGGAAACCACCUACGCGAAAUAGAUCCAUCUGUAUUUCGUGAUGGUAUGGGUAAAUUAUCCCACCUGCUACUGGGCGACAAUCAGUUGAGUGCCAUACCUUACCAAGCUUUGCAACCUUUAAGAACUUUGAAAACUCUGGAUCUGAGCUAUAACAGAAUUAACAAAAUGUCACCCUCUACUGAGCCUGGAGUAAAUAUAAAUCUCAAUUUUCAACUUAACUUAGACACAUUUAGACUGGAUUACAAUCAACUGCGUGUCUUGGAACCUGCUUCUUUUCAAUACUUCAAUAUCGUCAACAAGACGUACCUCGAUGGAAAUCCUUUAUCCGCUGUAGAGAACGACGCAUUCAGGCAAGCAAAAAUAAGGGAGCUCUUUCUUCGGAGUUGUGGAUUGACCAAUAUCUCUCCCGCUGCGUUUGCAGGCCUGGAAAACUUUCUGGAAGUUUUGGAUUUAUCCGGAAACAAUAUUUCUCUGCUUCCCAACGAACUGUUUCAAAGGUUUCAGUAUAUCAGAACACUGUUCCUACGAGACAAUAUCAUCACGAAACUCAGUCCUAGCGAAGCGUUCAAUAGUUUCCAGUACACUCUGUAUAAUUUGGACUUAAGUGGUUCUCAAAACAUGCCCAUUAAUAUACAAGACUUACGAAGAUUAAGAAGUUUAAGAUCUCUUUCUUUAUCUCGCCUAAACCAGCCUCAUAUUGAACCCGAUGAUUUUCUGGAAUUUGGAAUCGAUCUGGAAGAAAUGUCUAUAACUUAUGCAGGGAUACAAAGCAUAAAAAACAACGCAUUUAAGCAUGUGCACGGAUUAAAAUCGAUCGAUUUUUCCGAUAACAGCUUGACCACUAUUGAAGCCGAUGCUUUUGUUGAUAUUGGUCAUUCUCUGGAGCAAUUAUCUUUGGCCCAUGCGUUUUCUGCAUCUUUCUCCACAGUGCCUAGCGACGCAAUUAAAGUUUUAAACAAUUUGGAGUUCCUGGAUUUGAGCAAUAACAAGUUUAAAACGUUGGGAGAGACCAGUUUUCAUUUCCUGAAGAAGUUACGGAAAAUUGAAUUACAGGACAACCUGAUUGAUGUAAUUCACAAAGGCACUUUCCAGGGUGAUAUUCAUUCCAACUUAGAAGAAAUAUAUUUCUCUUUUAACAAUAUUAAAACAGUACCUCAGCAUACUUUUGUCCACUUGCCUCAACUAGAACGACUCUUUCUCGAUGACAAUCAAUUAGAAAGUUUAGAUCGUCGAGCUUUCAUGAACUUGGAACACCUGAAAUCACUUAAUCUCAAAGGAAACAAACUAACAAAAAUAUCAUACGAGGCGUUUCAAAAUUUGCCAGAAUUGGAAGAUUUGGAUUUAGCUUAUAACGAUCUGAAAUCUCUGGAUUUUAUGAUGUUUGAUCAGGUCGGUACACUGGCAAUGUUCAGUGUCAAUAUCAGUCAUAACAGUCUAAAGGAAUUGUUGGUGAAUUUGUCUCCAGGGUUUGAUACUCAAAUAGGAUUCGGAGGUUUCCACUCCAAUGUCAAAGUGUUGGACAUGUCCUACAACAAUAUCAGUCUUAUAGCCAAGCAGUUUUUUAGACCAGCCGAAAUAUCCUUGACUCAUCUUUAUUUAUCUCACAAUAAAAUACUGAACGCUACAAGGGAUGUGUUUGGAAAUAUGCCCCACUUACAGUGGUUGGACGUAUCUUGGAACCAGAUCUAUGAGAUGGAUUUCGAUAUGUUUAGGAAUACGAAAAAAUUGCAGGUUUUAGAUGUAUCAUAUAAUAGAAUCGCAGACAUACCGAAUGAUAUAUUUCGAUUUCUAAGCAACCUGCGACUGGUAAAUCUGUCAAACAACAGACUGCGAUCGUUACCUGAUAAUUUAUUCAGAGAAGAAGGUCUUGAAAGACUAGAUCUAUCCAACAAUCUCUUAAGCAAGCUGCCUUUGAAUGGUAUUUCUACAGCUCCAGCACAUACACUGUGCGAAUUGGAUCUUUCAGCAAAUCUUAUAUCGUCCUUAUCUCAUGGAGGACUUCUUGAGCGAUUCAAAAAAUUGAACUAUUUGGAUCUGUCGUAUAAUCGUUUGGCUCAAAUCGAUGCUGGCACGUUCAAAGGGUUGCCUAGAUUGCUUGCCCUAGAUCUGAGCCAUAAUGGUCAAUUGGUUCUGGAAUACAACGGUGGAAGCUUCCAGGGGUUGGAGUACUCUUUGUUGCAUUUGAAUUUAAAUAAUGCAUCAUUAUCUAUGGUACCAAUAUUACCCACUCCAAACCUAGUUUCUCUAUCUUUGGCAUACAAUUCAUUACCGAACAUUCCACCAGAGACAGCUACAAAUAUGACCAACUUACAGUUUCUAAAUCUAAACUAUAACGAUCUCACAACCAUUCCUAUAUUGACUCACUCUUUAUUUGAACUGAGAUAUCUUUUCAUGAUGUCAAACCCUGUAACUUAUCUUAGUAACACUAGUCUACUUGGAGUAGCUGAUCAUUUGGAGGAAUUGGACAUACGAAAUUUUGAUUUAACCGUUUUAGAGUCUGGAGCAUUUUGCAAAAUGUAUUCACUGAGAACAUUAAAAAUGAGUCUAUAUACGGGAUUUAAAACAUUUAACAUACCCAAUAUCAUUCAGUGGAACCAUGGGCUAAAAAACUUGGAAAUACAUAUAGACCAAGCGAUUCUAAUUUGGAGAAAGAAAUGGCGGGAGAAUUUCCUUUAAAAUUGAGAAAUAUUACGUUUUCUGGGAAAGGGUUGAAGAAAUUAGGGUCCAACAUAUUUCAGGGCAUUCGAUAUCCUCAGCUGCACGUUGGUAUCAGAAACACCACCAUUCCCCAGAUCAGCAGUGACCUGUUCAGAGAUACAGGGAGAGCCAGAAACUUAACCAUGGACCUUAGGGACAACGUAGGGCUUAAAAAC